rnacentral:rRNA from 1 species
AUUGAACGCUGGCGGAAUGCUUUACACAUGCAAGUCGAACGGCAGCACGGACUUCGGUCUGGUGGCGAGUGGUGAACGGGUGAGUAAUAUAUCGGAACGUGCCCAGUCGUGGGGGAUAACGUAGUGAAAAUUACGCUAAUACCGCAUACGAUCUAUGGAUGAAAGCGGGGGAUCGCAAGACCUCGCGCGAUUGGAGCGGCCGAUAUCAGAUUAGGUAGUUGGUGAGGUAAAGGCUCACCAAGCCGACGAUCUGUAGCUGGUCUGAGAGGACGACCAGCCACACUGGAACUGAGACACGGUCCAGACUCCUACGGGAGGCAGCAGUGGGGAAUUUUGGACACUGGACGCAAGUCUGAUCCAGCCAUUCCGCGUGCAGGACGAAGGCCUUCGGGUUGUAAACUGCUUUUGUACAGAACGAAAAGGUCUCUAUUAAUACUAGGGGCUCAUGACGGUACUGUAAGAAUAAGCACCGGCUAACUACGUGCCAGCCGCCGCCGUAA